GAUGAACGCUGGCGGCGUGCCUAAUACAUGCAAGCCGAGCGAACGGACGAGAAGCUUGCUUCUCUGAUGUUAGCGGCGGACGGGUGAGUAACACGUGGAUAACCUACCUAUAAGACUGGGAUAACUUCGGGAAACCGGAGCUAAUACCGGAUAAUAUUUUGAACCGCAUGGUUCAAAAGUGAAAGACGGUCUUGCUGUCACUUAUAGAUGGAUCCGCGCUGCAUUAGCUAGUUGGUAAGCUAACGGCUUACCAAGGCAACGAUGCAUAGCCGACCUGAGAGGGUGAUCGGCCACACUGGAACUGAGACACGGUCCAGACUCCUACGGGAGGCAGCAGUAGGGAAUCUUCCGCAAUGGGCGAAAGCCUGACGGAGCAACGCCGCGUGAGUGAUGAAGGUCUUCGGAUCGUAAAACUCUGUUAUUAGGGAAGAACAUAUGUGUAAGUAACUGUGCACAUCUUGACGGUACCUAAUCAGAAAGCCACGGCUAACUACGUG
rnacentral:rRNA from 1 species